GCAGGCUUAGGGAUAGGGUCAGAUUUCCUCAGUAAAGUCUGGAACAUUGACCUCAGAGGAAUCAGAAGGUCCCUUCCCUAUGCCAAGGAAGCGUAGCCCUUGCAAUAGUGUGAAGACUCUGAAACCUUACAGUUAAAAAAUUGCUGUGCGUGGUUGACUUCAAGUUUCGUUCGUUAGUACCUCCCCCCCUCUCCCCCCAGGUGCACACUAGUCCCAAAGAUCUGUGGAAUAAUAAGCACAAAAUCUCCUUGCCAUUUGAUUCCAUCUGUCAUUAGCCCACAAAGUUCCUGCUGGCCCCAUUUGCUGAUUUUGUAUAUGAAUGUUGAGGGAAAAACUCAGUGUACCAGGAACUUCAGUUUUGACAAAAUAAAAUGUUUAUCACUUCCCGGGUUGACUUUUCCCCCUGCUCUGUAGUUUGUUGAAUUAUUUGUGCCUUAGAUUGUCUCAUUUUAUUUUUGUCUUGUUUUCCUAGGAGACCUUGAGGCAGGGGUAAAUGAAAGAGAUAAGUUACCCUGACCUUGAUUUUUAUGGCACUGUGGUAACCGAAGGUGUAUUUACCCUCUCAUGGAGCCAUAAAAAAACACACUUCUCUUUUUAAGCAUUUGCAGCGACAGUUAAGAUGAGAAAUAACUAUGCAGCUGGGUUCAUAAAGGUCUCAGGUUAAAAUUCGGAUAUGAUAAUAAAUCACAACUUCUUUUUAUCUGUCACCACUGAUUUUAAGUUUGGUUUUCUAAGUAUCAAAUUCUCCCUUCUGACAGAAAGGGCAUCGUGAAAAUGGGUAUAUCAGAGAGAAAAAUGUAGGUGUUUUGGAUGCGAUAAAGAUGUAAUGUGUACAUGUGUCUCUGGGGACAAGGUCAGCAGAGGGGCUUGUUCAUCUCACCUGGGUCCAGGUGGAGAUGUACAGCGUUUCUGAAGCAGAGACCAAUCCAACUGAGAUGAUCCACUUUGCCUUCAGUUUAGUGGGUUAGUCUCCAGCUCUCCUGCUCAUCCCCAAAGCCUCUGCCACUCAGAAGGUGAACGAGUCGAUUCCAAAGCAUGCAUGGGAGGAGGAUGAAAAGAGGAAGAGAAGAGGGUGACAGCUGAUCCUCAGCAGCAGGUGGAAGGGAAAUUCUCUUUAGCAGGCUCAGGUUCCCAGGCUAAGGGUUGAAUUGGAGCUGCAGCCACUGGCCUAUACCACAGCCAUAGCAACUUGGGAUCCAAGCCGCUUGUGACCUACAGCACGGUUCAUGGCAACGCCGGAUCCUUAACCCGUUGAGUGAGGCCAGGGAUCAGACCCAUGUCUUCAUGGAUGCCAGUAGAUUUUGUUAACUGCUGAGCCACGACAGGAACUCCUGUUUAUGUGCUUUUUAAAACUCCCCUCUUCAGAGAUAAGCCAGAAGUCUGUGGUUGUGGUAGGCAUGGCACAGACUUUUCUAGUCCCUCUUUUGCUUAAUGGUAAGUGGUGUUGCCCUCACACACCCCUCAAUUGUAUUCUUUCGGGCCAGCCGUCCCCUUUCUUGGGAAGGGUGCGGUCCUAGACCUUAUGAACUUGAAAGGAAGUUGGGAUAUGCUAAUGCAUUUCUCUCUGAUCCGAAAAGGGGAAACUGAGGCCAGGACAAAGAAAGGACUUGUAGAGAGAUGGCGUCACACUCUACUUAGCAUGGGAACUGGGACUGCAGUGCAGGAGCCUGGCUCCUGGGUUCCUCUUUUUCAGUUUGUAAUAGACCUUCCUUUUCAGUGAGGCCAGCUCUCUACAGUGAAGCAAACCUGGGAAAAGGUACAGUCAGUUAAUUUACAAAGCUGUAUGGUCUGAUUUUAAAUGACGGGGCGGGGGGCGGAGAAGGGAGGUGGGACAGGAGGAAGCAUAAACUGAGGAAAAAAGGACGAUAACACACCUGUACAAGGACUUGGGUGACCGGGAGGAGCCACUGGGCAGGGGGUGUGACCGGGAGGGGCCACUGGGCAGGGGGUGCGGGCCAGACCCUGCAGAGGGGGGCCCCAUGGGCAGAAGGGAGCUCCCUCAGCAUGUGCUGUGUGGUGGCGCUGUGCUGGACUCGGAGUGAGUAUUGGUGAGCAAAACAGACAGAGUUAGCACCUCGUGGAAAAUGCAGUCCGUUGUGGAGACACAUCGUCCACAGAUACACAUGCACAUAGGGAGCCGAGAUUGUGGUGGGCACAGGGUGUUGUGAGGUCCAACUGACUCAUUUUUACUGGGAGCCGUCCAGGAGGAAGGUGAAUGAGGUUCUUGUUUAACCCAGGUCUUUCUGACAAGUGGGGGAACCCCCGCAGAGUCUCAGCAGGAGAGAGAUAUGAACAGAUGUGUGUUGUCCUGGUUGUUAUGACUUCCUGGGUGCUAGGGAGGCCAAGGGGAGGAGCCCAGAGCAAGCCUGGAGGACCUUGAGGUAGCCCAGUGUAAACCUCACCUCCUUCCUCCCCCUAGUUUUUGCCUCAGGCCACUGAGUGACCGUCCUACUCUGACACAGCAUGCUUGUCUGCCUGUCUAUCAUCCCCCAGAAAAUAUAAGCUCUCAGAGGCUAGGGACUUGAUUUUGUUCACUGCUCUGUCCAUGGCACCCAGAACAAUGCUAAAUAACUGAUUUGGGUGGAUGAAUCAGGAUAGUAUCAUGAAGAAAGUGGUAUUUCAGCAGAUUACUCUGGCUACAGAACUCGUGCUGUGGAUAGCCCACGUGCAUGAUGCAAAAUCCUAAAACCUACAGAUGAGAAUCUCCUCGAGAAUUACAGCUCGUGAAUUCCUUCCAAGAGAACAGAUUGUAAGAGCACUGGAAAGGGCCUGGAAUUUACAUAUUUCCCAUUGCAUUUGAUUAAUUUGUAAUUCGUCAGAUGUUGAUGUGUUCUGUAUAAUCAUUAAAAAAAAAAAACAAAAACAAAAAA
rnacentral:lncRNA from 1 species